rnacentral:lncRNA from 1 species
AAUCUUUUCUUCACCUUCCUGUACUUGUCUUCCGAGUUUUCCACUUCAAAUUUCUAAUCUUCUUUCUUCCUUUCUCAUACUAUUUUUUAAGGACGUCUCCAUUUUCCCCUAAAAUAAGACCUUCCUAUUAAUUAUCAGAUCUACUCUCACGAAUUUAACUCAAAACUACAGCUCAGUAUUUUCGCUAAUUUAUAAUUCCUAGAGAAUAAGAGUAAUCCCUAUCUUAACAGAAAAACUUAUCUGCGGUCUCCUCAAGAAGCGUUUCCUGCCUCUCAGCCGUCUCUGCGCUCGCUGCCUCAAUGCCUGCCUCCCGACCCGCAGCGCGCGGCGUAUUUAUAGCCCAAGGACACCUCACACCCCCGUCACCCAAUAACCCUCCGCCGCCUUUGUGAGGGAAGCAAAAAUAGUUCCUCGGAAGGAGUUAAAAAUAGAAUCUGGUUUAUAAGACUCUAGGUUUUUCCUUAACAGUUUAUAUAACUUGCUCGCAAACUCUGUACCCAGAUGUUUAAGUAGAUUUGAACUGAAAACUUGAGUAAAAACAAUGGAAACCACGUUUAAACAGACCAUCAAACAGCUGACAAAAACUCAGAAUUACUUGGAAAUGUUUUAGUAGCUUUUAAAAUACCUUCUGUGUUUCCUUCGAGUACAGUAGGUACAAUUUAGUGCUUUGGAGGCUAGGAAAGUAAAACUAAGUUUGCUGAUGGCCUUCAUUUCCAUUAUGUAACAGAGCUUCAGCCUCACAAAUAGAGCGGAGCCAUCUUAGAAGGACCGAAGGGUGGGAGUUUCGCCCCCAUGGGCCGCAGGUCCUGAGGAUUAUAUCACACCGUCUUGAUUGCCAUUUUAUUCGUGAGAUCCGAUCAGCCCAGGUGAUCUAUGUAAGAAUUGGACUAAAUGUGGAAAUCCACUUCUGGAAAAUGUCUGACAGCCACUCUUUACCACUGUUGCCUGCAACAGAGCUGGUCACGCAUCGCAAGGGAUUAGGACCAAAAUUGAGGCAUCCAGCACCCCGUGUUUCCCACCUGGGUGGAAAAGCGGAGGGAAGCGCCAGGGCGGAACUGGCUGCUGUGUCUCAAGGACUCUAGGAGAAGCCUCGGUCCCCGGGGCGGCAAAGGGGACCCGAGUGAGGCUUGAGGACUUAGAAAUGACAAUGGCGCCAGGGAGCGUCCCAGAUACCGGCUUCCAAGCGGCUAAAGCGGCUGAGGCGCGAAGAAGAAGCAGGUAAGAGGCCGAGCGGGGUGGGCGCGAGCCCCCGGGGCCGAGGGGGUGGGGGACGGGUUUCCCGGCCCAGCGCUGCCCGCGGCCGCAGAAAAGGGAGAAGCGGUGGGGGAGGGGUGCUACCCGAGCGCCGCGCCCCUUCCCCCCGCCCCCCCCAAGCCUGCCUCGCGCAGGGAUAUGCUGGCCGUGAGCCGCCGCCUCCCUUUGUGAGGCGUAGGCUCGCGGGCGGGCGCCGCCGGUUCUAACCGGUUCCAGCCGGUCCCG